rnacentral:rRNA from 1 species
UACGUAGGGGGCGAGCGUUGUCCGGAAUUACUGGGCGUAAAGGGUGAGUAGGCGGCCUUUUAAGUUGGAUGUGAAAUACCCGGGCUUAACCCGGGGGGUGCAUUCAAAACUGGGAGGCUCGAGUAUCGGAGAGGAAAGCGGAAUUCCUGGUGUAGCGGUGAAAUGCGUAGAUAUCAGGAGGAACACCGGUGGCGAAGGCGGCUUUCUGGACGACAACUGACGCUGAGGCACGAAAGCGUGGGGAGCAAAC